rnacentral:rRNA from 1 species
CAGCAGCAGCCGCGGGAAUACAGAGGGUGCGAGCGUUAAUCGGAUUUACUGGGCGUAAAGCGUGCGUAGGCGGCUUUUUAAGUCGGAUGUGAAAUCCCUGAGCUUAACUUAGGAAUUGCAUUCGAUACUGGGAAGCUAGAGUAUGGGAGAGGAUGGUAGAAUUCCAGGUGUAGCGGUGAAAUGCGUAGAGAUCUGGAGGAAUACCGAUGGCGAAGGCAGCCAUCUGGCCUAAUACUGACGCUGAGGUACGAAAGCAUGGGGAGCAAACAGGAUUAGAUACCCCAGUAGUCCCUGUCUCUUAUAA